GUUGUCAACAUACUAACCGUUGAGAGACGAGAUCUAGCUUGUUAACCAGUGAAACAUGCGACAGCUGAUCACUGAGUUAAGUGGUUGAGCUCUAACAUAUCAUGCAUGCAACAAUUAGGCAUCUAUAGGUAUUAUAAUCUCCAACACCUGAAUAGUGGCCCUGUAUCUAAACAUUUACAACUCUUAGAAUCAAUAAACACUUGAUUUAAUUGUUCCCUAGCUCCUUGUGGAUUAUAUCCCUAAGUACUACAUCUGAACCUCUUUUGAUGAGAGUAACACUCCUUAGGGUAAUUUGAGUGGUAUCAAUCGCCCACAGGCAAAACGAGAGCCGAUCAGUCGUCGCACAUCCUUAGAGCCGAAAGUAAACCUAGGUCUUGCCUUAAACCCAGUCCUACUGGUUCACUAACAUCUCAAGACAUGAUACGAGAUCUUAAAAACAUGUCCUAUCGUCUAUAUCUAAUACGCUCAUGAAACUUCGCAAAACUCCUAAACGUUUCCGAACGCCCUCGUUCAGUAAGAGCAAACGAAC
rnacentral:lncRNA from 1 species